GGGUCGGCGGCGCUCGGGGACGGUGGACUCCUCGCCUAGGACGGCGCGAGCGAGCGGUGGCGCCACGGGAGCUCCGGCGAGGACGGGCGGGCGGCGUCCGGCGGCUAUAGUGCACAAAGCGAGGAACCAGCCGCGUCAAAAGAAGCGCAAAGGGGAGGGGAGAAGGAGCAAGUGCGCGGGGUCGCCUCACACCUUGUGGUUAGCCGGCGGUGACCUCGGAAAGGCGGCGGCGCGAGCUAGGGUUUCGGGGGAAAAUCCGGCAGCGUGGUCGCGAAAUCAAGCGGGGGAGUAGGGGGAAAAAGGAGAGGGGAGCUCGCCUUUUAUGGUGACGCGCUCGGGCUGUCGCGGGGAGCACGGGGACGGCGGAUCCCGGUAAUGGCGGCGGCGCGGAUCACGCGCGUGACCGGCGGGGGUUUCCCCGGCGGGGAAGACGACCCCGACAGGUGGGGCCCACCUGUCGGUGGCUCACGCUGCGCGCGCAGCCUGGGCCGGCUCGGUUCGGGCGGCUCGGGCGGGACUGGGCCGGUUCGGCCCAAAACGGUCGGGCCGGUCCGGUUUUCCCCUUUUUUUUUUUUUCUUUAGCCUUUUCUCUUUUUUUUCUGUUUUUCUUAUUUCUUUGAUAUCUUUUGAUUUUGAACUCCAAAUUGGUCCAAAUAAAUCCCAGAGAAUUUGAAAAAUCAUGCUCUACCAUGAUACAACUUUUGGAAGUAGUUUCUCUUCAAAAUAAAGUAUAUAAAAAUACAUUUGCCCUAUAAAUGCCUUUAGGGCCAUAUAUCUAUUUAAAUAAAAUACUUUUUCAACUCCAAUUAGUUAACCAAAAAUUAUGGGAUAGCUUAUAUAUGCAUUAAACCCUUUUUAUACAUCAACCCUAUUGGUUUGAAAAUCCAAAGGUUACAGGGAUGUAAACAAAAUCUCUUAAAGCCUUUUGUGAUUCCAAAUUUGAAUUCAAACAUGCAAUUGUGGCAUGAUGCUCAUGGGUGCAAUGCACAUGUAAAGGUUUGAAAUUUUGGGAUGUUACAGCCAGGAAGUGGACCCAUAGCCAAGAGACCAUAUAAGAUGGCUGUGGACGAGUUGAAAGAAUUGAAGAAGCAGCUAGCUGAAC
rnacentral:lncRNA from 1 species